rnacentral:tRNA from 1 species
UAUAUUUUAGUGUAUUAAGCACAAAAAUUUUUGACGUUUUGAGAUUUAGUUUAAAUCUAAAAAAUAUAA